GACGAACGCUGGCGGCGUGCCUAAUACAUGCAAGUAGAACGCACAGUUUAUACCGUAGCUUGCUACACCAUAGACUGUGAGUUGCGAACGGGUGAGUAACGCGUAGGUAACCCGCCUGGUAGCGGGGGAUAACUAUUGGAAACGAUAGCUAAUACCGCAUAAUAUUAAUUAUUGCAUGAUAAUUAAUUGAAAGGUGCAAUUGCACCACUACCAGAUGGACCUGCGUUGUAUUAGCUAGUAGGUGAGGUAACGGCUCACCUAGGCGACGAUACACAGCCGACCUGAGAGGGUGAUCGGCCACACUGGGACUGAGACACGGCCCAGACUCCUACGGGAGGCAGCAGUAGGGAAUCUUCGGCAAUGGACGAAAGUCUGACCGAGC
rnacentral:rRNA from 1 species